UAGGGAAUAUUGGACAAUGGGGGAAACCCUGACCCAGCAACGCCGCGUGAAGGAUGAAGUAUUUCGGUAUGUAAACUUCGAAAGAAUAGGAAGAAUAAAUGACGGUACUAUUUAUAAGGUCCGGCUAACUACGUGCCAGCAGCCGCGGUAAUACGUAGGGACCAAGCGUUGUUCGGAUUUACUGGGCGUAAAGGGCGCGUAGGCGGCAUGACAAGUCACUUGUGAAAUCUCUGGGCUUAACCCAGAACGGCCAAGUGAUACUGUCGCGCUAGAGUGCAGAAGGGGCAAUCGGAAUUCUUGGUGUAGCGGUGAAAUGCGUAGAUAUCAAGAGGAACACCUGAGGUGAAGACGGGUUGCUGGGCUGACACUGACGCUGAGGCGCGAAAGCCAGGGGAGCAAACGGGAUUAGAUACCCGNGUAGUCCCUGAGCGGGCUGGCAAGGCGCAU
rnacentral:rRNA from 1 species